rnacentral:rRNA from 1 species
GACGAACCGUCCUAACGUUGUUCGGAAUCACUGGGCUUAAAGGGCGCGUAGGCGGACCACCAAGUCCGGGGUGAAAUCUUUCGGCUUAACCGGAAAAGUGCCUUGGAUACUGGUGGUCUCGAGUGAGGUAGGGGCAUGUGGAACUUCUGGUGGAGCGGUGAAAUGCGUUGAUAUCGAGAGGAACCCCAGUGGCGAAGGCGAGUCUCUGGACAUUUCCUGACGCUGAGGCACGAAAGCCAGGGGAGCAAACGGG